rnacentral:rRNA from 1 species
UCAUAAACAUAAAAUAAACAUGCUGGGGGACUACGAGCUAUGGCUUAAAACCUAAAGAAAUUGGCGGCAUUUUUUAACCUAUUAGGGGAACUUGUCUCAUAAUCGAUAAUCCGCGUUAAACCUGACCUAAGAUAGAGAAGCAGUCUGUAUACCUUUGUCAUAAGUUCACUUUGUUAAAAAUAAAGAAGUUAGCAUAAUAAUUUUGAGUUUUGAUGUCAGAUCAAGGUGCAGCUAAUUCUUAGGGAGGGAUGAGUUACAAUUAAGGAUUUUUAAUUACGGAAAUUUAAACUGAAAGGUUAAUUGAAGGUGGACUUAAAAGUAAUUUAAUGUAUAUAUAAAUUAUUUGAAUUUGGGCCU